UKGGAGGGCAAGUYUGGUGCCAGCAGCCGCGGUAAUUCCAGCUCCAAUAGCGUAUAUUAAAGUUGUUGCAGUUAAAAAGCUCGUARUUGAAUUUYGAGAUCAGUACGMUGGUCGWGCCUUCGGUAUGCACUGGUGUCACUGGUUUCUCCCUUCUGAAGAACCGUAAUGCCAUUCAGUUGGUGUGGCGGGGAAUCAGGAUUGUUACUUUGAAAAAAUUAGAGUGUUUAAAGCAGGCUCGCGCUUGAAUACAUUAGWAUGGAAUAAUGAAGUAGGACGUUUGAUCSUAUUUUGUUGGUUUCUAGGAUCGACGUAAUGAUUAAUAGGGAUAGUUGGGGGCAUUAGUAUUCAAUUGUCAGAGGUGAAAUUYKWWGAUUUAUUGAAGAYUAACUACUGCGAAAGCAUUUGCCAAGGAUGUUUUCAUUAAUCAAGAACGAAAGUUAGGGGAUCGAAGACGAUCAGAUACCGUCGUAGUCUAACCAUAAACUAUGCCGWCUAGGGAUCGGAUGAUGUUAAUUUUUUAAUGACUCAUUCGGCGCYUACGGGAAACA
rnacentral:rRNA from 1 species